GACGUAGGGCGCAAGCGUUGUCCGGAAUUAUUGGGCGUAAAGAGCUCGUAGGCGGUCUGUUGCGUCCGCUGUGAAAACUCGGGGCUUAACCCCGAGCCUGCAGUGGAUACGGGCAGACUAGAGGUAGGUAGGGGAGAAUGGAAUUCCCGGUGUAGCGGUGAAAUGCGCAGAUAUCGGGAGGAACACCGGUGGCGAAGGCGGUUCUCUGGGCCUUACCUGACGCUGAGGAGCGAAAGCAUGGGGAGCGAACAGG
rnacentral:rRNA from 1 species